UGCUUAAUACAUGCAAGCCGAGCGGGAGUAGUAAUACUUCAGCGGCGCACGGGUGAGUAACACGUAAAUAACCUGCCUUCAAGUUCGGGAUAACGGUUCUAACGGACUGCUAAUACCGGAUGUGGCGUAUACGCGGCAUCGCGUAUAUGUUAAAGUAUUUAUACGUUUGAAGAUGGAUUUGCGGACCAUUAGCUAGUUGGUGAGAUAAUAGCUUACCAAGGCGAUGAUGGUUAGCCGGCCUGAGAGGGUGGACGGCCACAAUGGGACUGAGACACGGCCCAUACUCCUACGGGAGGCAGCAGUAGGGAAUAUUGCGCAAUGGAUGAAAGUCUGACGCAGCAACUCCGCGUGAUGGACGAAGGUCUUCGGAUUGUAAACAUCUUUUAUUUGUGAAGAAAAAAUUAAAAUUGACGGUAGCAAAUGAAUAAGCUCCGGCUAAAUAUGUGCCAGCAGCCGCGGUAAUACAUAUGGAGCGAGCGUUACUCGGAAUCACUGGGCGUAAAGGGUGCGUAGGCUGUAGAAUAAGUCAUGGUUUUAACUUCGGGGCUCAACCUCGACUGUGAUUGUGAUACUGUUUUACUUGAAUACUUGAGGGGUAAAUGGAAUUUCCGGUGUAGCGGUGGAAUGCGUAGAUAUCGGAAAGAACACCAACGGCGAAGGCAGUUUACCGGCAAGAUAUUGACGCUGAGGCACGAAAGCGUGGGGAGCAAACAGGAUUAGAUACCCUGGUAGUCCACGCCGUAAACUAUGGACAUUAGUCGUUGGGCCGUAAGGCUCGGUGGCGUAGAUAACUUGUUAAAUGUCCCGCCUGGGUAGUACGUCCGCAAGGAUGAAACCCAAAGGAAUUGACGGGGACCCGCACAAGCGGUGGAGCAUGUGCUUUAAUUCGAUGCAACGCGAAGAACCUUACCUGGUCUUGACAUAGUUCUGCCGAUCUCAGAGAUGAGAUUUUCAGCAAUGACAGGACAUACAGAUGCUGCAUGGUUGUCGUCAGCUCGUGUCGUGAGAUGUUGGGUUAAGUCCCGCAACGAGCGCAACCCUUGCCAAUAGUUACCAGCGAGUUAUGUCGGGGACUCUAUUGGGACUGCCUUCGCAAGGAGGAGGAAGGUGGGGAUGACGUCAAAUCAUCAUGGCUCUUACGACCAGGGCUA
rnacentral:rRNA from 1 species